rnacentral:lncRNA from 1 species
UGGGGAGGAGCAAAUUGCCACAAAAAGGUGUUCAGUUAACUGAAGAAGGGGGAGGAUGCUGGGCAAACAAAUGAAGGGAUUGCUAGAUUAUUUACUGUUUAACUUUUGUUGUGUGCAGGUCUCAGGACAGGUACCUGCUCAUCGGGUUCUUGGAUCUCCAGGCUCCUGAAAUAUUGAAGUCACACUCCAGAAUCUUUAUAAUCAAGAGCUUAAGGCUUACUGAGCUCACUGCACAAUACUGUGACCUGUCAUGGAGGAAUUACAGGAGGCAGGGUGGGGACUUGAGUACCAGGAACUGUGAUCAAUUGGGAAAGCCUUUGGACAAGCAAGAAACCAGACUAUAAUUCAUCUCCUGUGGAUAUAGUAAAAACCAUGAUGUGCAAGUUGUUAUGAUCCAGAAAGAAAAGCCAUUCAUGGGGCCUUUUCUUUAACAUUACUAGGAAAUUCACUGGGGAAGCAUGUUCCUUGUUAUCUCUCAGUUGUGGUGCCCUAUGGUACCUGAGGUCUUAAGUAUGGACAAAAGCAUCCCAGGACUAGAUGUAAUGUGGGUUUCUGGGCAUUUCUGUGAAUUCAAAUUGGUUCCAAAAUCUGGAUCUACAUAUGCCUGAAAGCAAUCAGAACUCUGGGUGGGAAUUCUGAUGAUGAGUUUAUAGAAAAGAGUUUACAAUUACAACUUCAGGAUUCACAGAAUUCUAAAUCUAAAUUGAGUCCCAUCAGAGUCCAUUUCGGUCUUACCCCUGAUGGUGUGACCUCAGAAAAGCCAUGCCAAUGUGAGGGUGUGAGCUGGAUUUUCCUGGAUAAAGAGCUACCAGAGCCAGCCAGGUGUAAAAACCUUGAAGGCAAGAGAGAGAUGGGAAUUUAUAAAUGAAAGGCCCUUUAAGAGCAAGAGGACAGUUUCAAUUUUGUAAGAUGAAAAAGUUCUGGGGUUGGCUGGAGGCUUUGGUUGGAGAACAAUUUGAAUGUAUUUAUUGCCUGUGAUCUUUGUAGUUACACAUGAUUAAAGUGGUAAAUUUUACUUAUGAAUAUUUUACUACUUUAAAAAAUAAAGAGAUUAACUAGAACCAAAAAGUGUCCCAGUAGCAAUAAAGAGUAAUGCACAAAAUUACCCGUUGCAUUUAGAGCAGCCCAGUAAAGCAGAAUCUCCCACAAAAG